UACGGAGGAUGCAAGCGUUAUCCGGAAUGAUUGGGCGUAAAGCGUCCGCAGGUGGUAUUUCAAGUCUGCUGUCAAAGAGUUUGGCUCAACCAAAUAAAGGCAGUGGAAACUGAAAAACUAGAGUGCGUUCGGGGUAGAGGGAAUUCCUGGUGUAGCGGUGAAAUGCGUAGAGAUCAGGAAGAACACCGGUGGCGAAAGCGCUCUACUAGGCCGCAACUGACACUGAGGGACGAAAGCUAGGGGAG
rnacentral:rRNA from 1 species